CCAUAUUGGGACAUGUUCCGGUGAAUAAAUGAACCGUGCCUCUCGUUACUCGGGGUUCAUUCGGACAGGUUCGGUUACGAUUUCAUACAAUUUUCCCUCCCCACAGUUUCCAGGAAAUCGUAAUGUGUUCGGAUACGCUACGGUUUGUUUUGGAUGAGUUCGGUUGAGUCUGGGUUCGGUUCGGUUACGCCUCCCUGACUGAGUUCCCUGGUGCUAUAACUGGGCAUUAAGUCGUUAUCGCAAUUACGCUGUAGAAGGAGUGGCAGGGGAGCGGGAGGCUGGUUUACGCGAGGAGGAAGAGGAGGAGGAGGAGGAAGAGCGAGGAGAGAGGAAGAGGAGGAAGGCAGGACGUAUUAGAGUGGUAAGGGAAGGAGAAGAGCAAGACUGAAGACGCGACUGUGUUGAGAAAGUAAAGGAAACAAGUUGAGAAAGGAAGAGACGAGAGUGAGGAAGAGGAGGAGGGAUAAGGUCUCCGCGGCCCCGAUAAUAUAAUACAGCGCGGGUCACACAGCGCCGCCAACUCCCUCAGAAGACUACAUAAAACCUGGCCCCAACUUUGUCACCUUGAUGAGCACCUGCAGAAACGCAUCAAAAUAGACUCUUAAGUGACCACCCGUAGAAUACCUUAAGUAAACACGCUCCCGCUGGACCCUAAUUACAAGCAUCGCACAGGUAAAGGUGAUUGCCCUCAGUCCUUAACCCAACGCUGCCUCGGUGAACAUUGGCAAGGGAGGUACUUGAAUACACAGGGAAGCAAUUCUACAUGUGUUCUGGACGUGUUGUGCUCGGUAUGUUUGUUCGAGGCGGAUCUGAAUCGGUUCCCAAGUCCCGAUCAGAGAGGUGAAGGAGGGAGAGGCGAAAAUAAGUGAGAGGGGAGGACUGAACGCAAGGAAAUAAAGAAGAGUAAGGAAAAUUAUAUGUUGUAGGGUUAGUUUCAUUGUUUGUACGUCUAUCUCUCUCUCUCUCUCUCUCUCUCUCUCUCUCUCUCUCUCUCUCUCUCUCUCUCUCUCUCUCUCUCUCUCUCUCUCUCUCUGGCACAUCUUUUACCACACUGUGUCUAUUUUAAACAAGUAAUUAGGGAUAUUUCAAGGGUAUGUUACCUUCAUACAUAUUCACCUGUUCCUAAUCUUGUCUGUUAAUAUGUACGCGAAAUUUCUGGUAUGAAUUAUUUUUGUGGUAAAGUAAUAAUCUUCAUCAGUUUUCAUGUUUAAUAUGUCCCUUGUAACUGUACGCUCUUGACACACACACACACACACACACACACACACACACACACACACACACGUAGCCAUAUUGGUAUAGGCAUGGUCAGUAGUGAAUUAAUGCACUUAUUUCCACUGUGUUUGUAGUGUAACCAUUUCUAUUACCCUCUCUGAUUUGCAUGUUGGUAAGUAAGUUCUACAAGGAGACUCAAUAGAGAAGAAAACUAAACACUGAGGGGAACACACACACACACACACACACACACACACACACACACACACACACACACACACACACACACACACACACACACACACACACACACACACACACACACACACAAAGUGGAAAUGAGUAGGACAGGUCUUGACUUGUGACCAUAGGUGUACAUCGUGGCUUUUACACACACACACACACACACACACACACACACACACACACACACACACACACGCACACGCACACGCACGCACGAUGAAAUAACUACAGUCCUCUUGACAAACUUGACACUUAUCUGGUCGAGGUGAGGGGUCAGAGAGGGAGAGAGGAGGAGUCAGGGGGAGAGAAGGGGAAGAGGAAUGAGGGGUUGGCGGGGGGGAGAGUUAAGGGAAAGAGGGACGAAGCGUGACCUCAUAACUCGACUAAUCUCACCUCACUUCUCCCUUCCCUCCUCAUGAUUCAGACACCUGUGUUUUUCUUCUCACCCUGGUAGAUAUUUUCCCUUGUAUUUUUCAUUUGUAUUUUCUCCUUUAUAUUUUUUUUUCUCUCUCAGAUGUAUAUUCAAUUUUAAUCUCCUACUGUGAACUUAACUGUAUUUGUGUUACCCAGUUAUAGGUAAAUUCACGUUUUUCAUUUGCAUAUUUACCUGUAUUCAUCCACUCACUCAUGUGCUUGUGUCUACACGUAAUUUUCUUUAAUACUUUUACCUGUAUUUCUGUAAUGCAGGUGGAGAUCGAUUCAAUUGUAUUUAUAUUUCUUUCUUCCCACUUGUAAUUUUCCUUUGUAUACUUUUAUUAAUCCCCUUAGACAGCUACAGGUAAAUUUUUCACCUGUACAGUCACUCAUAUUCUCUUUCCAAUCAGGAAAAGACAAAUUUUCACCUGUACUCUUACUAAUAUUUCUUCCAGCCAGGAAAAGACAAAAUUUUCACCUGCACAUUUACUAAUAUUUCUCCUCCCAGCCAGGUAAAGACAAAUUUUCACCUGUACACUCAUUCAUAUUUCUCCUCCCAGCCAAGUAAAGACAAAUUUUCACCUGUACACUUACUUACUAAUAUUUCUCGUUUUAAUCAGGUAAAGAUAAACUCACCUGUGUUCUUCACCCUUAACCAGGUUAUACGUAUUUGUACAGCACUACUUAACAGUCUUCUCUACGUUGCAUGCGAACAUAUACUCCCCGUUCGCUAGAAACCCGCCACACGGUCCUCGAUACACGGAAACAAUACCUUUAUGUAGUCCCCGAGAUACGAACUUAUUUAUCACAACUCAGUUAACCGUAGGCGCCGUAGAGACCCCGAUUUACGAACAUAUAUCGCUACUCAUGUAAAUAUAGCCGGACACAACUCGGCGUAACCGUAAUCACAACUCCCGUUCCAGCCGGUCCUCACGAAUAUUAAACAGCGGUCGGGGCCAGACAGUGUCACGCCACACGGCCCCGCUCAGCCGUAAGGGCGCCUCGCUGCACGCUGGUCUUACGAUACGCGCCUUUAUAGCGUCGCAUGCCGCCAAGACUGCUAAGGAGACGCGAGAUUAUUAUUAUUAUUAUUAUUACUUUUAUUAUUAUUAUUAUUAUUGUUAUUAUUAUUGCCGUUAUUGUUGUUAUUGUUG